GGGAUUUAGCUUAGUGGAGGUGCAUGUGUCUUUCACACAAAUGGUCCCAGAUUCAAUUCCUGAAAUAUCCA